GAAAAAAAAUGCUCUUCUCCAAAAUCACUUCUGCACUCUGAGACUGCCUGUUGGAGGGAGGGAAGCUGCGUCAGAGAUCCAGAGAGGACAAGUCUGGGAACAGAUGAAUCACUUUUGCUUCACAGGAGGCCAAACCAAAAGCAUGGCCAUGGCAGCAGUAAUCGGGGAAUAGGUCCCAGGGCAGUCAGAAACCAGACACCUUCAGCUCCUCCAUACCGCUCUGCAGUGAAGUUCUGCUUCAAGACCUGAACCCAAAAGUCUCCUAAAGCCAGAAGAUAAAGCUCCUUUGCUUAUCAGAACCCACUUCCAGGCCCCAUGCAACAAGCCUUCAGCUUAUCACAGCGCAUCACAAGACCUUUGGCCCACGCAGUCUGUUUGCAGCAGCACUUUUGACUGCUUGUCAGAAGAAAACACCAUAAACACACGUUGCAUUAAUCAGUGCUAUUCGCAGAAGAAAAACAAUUUCUUCCUGAUCCCUCCAGGUCUUCUCUACACUGAGGCACCUUUGCAAAAGGAACAGAAUUUGCUGGAAACGUCAGCCCAGAGCUUUAGUGGUGGAGGCUUGAUGGUGCCACCACAUUUCCUGUGAAGGCACAGAUGCCGUCUGAGCCCACAGCAGACCUGCUUUCCUGCCUGUUCACACAGCACCCGCAGGAAGAGUCGGCAUUACUGAGAUGCUUCUGAGGAUGGCAGCCCUCAAAGCAGGCCUUGGCCUGGGGACAUGGGGGUGAAGAAAUGAGAAGGAAGAAGUCAACCUGGAGCGCAGUGAUCACUGAGCAAAACGAGGUGGUUCUCAACGUAACAUCACUUCACAUCUCCAUGAUGCAGCACAGGGUGCUGGGUCCCCAAGAUGUGAACCCAAUAUUUGGGACCACCUGUCCUCUUUUUCCUGCUGGGCAGUAUUGCUGCUCAGAGGAAAACCAUGAUUAAUAGCAGCAUUACACUAUGCCAUGAGCUCUGCUGUAAUACUUCCACGUCUUCCUCUUCCCCUCAAGUUACUCACCAGCAAGAAAUUAUAUUAAAUCCUUAAGUUGUUCAUCUCUACUUCUCGUGUCCUUACAAAGGGUCACAGUUGGGCUAGCUGGAUCAAGGGGCUCUAUUUUCUGCACAACCUGGUACAUCAAGCAGUAGGACCAAGCCUUGUUCUCUGGGAUGUGAUGGAAGGACAGGGUCCUCAGAGAUCUCAACAACCAGCAUUUUCUAAGGGGUUCGAUGAGCUGUAG
rnacentral:lncRNA from 7 species